UGUGGUUAGUAAAUGCUUGCAUUGGUAAAACCACAUUUGACCUUUUUGAAAAAUGCAGGAGACGUGUGUAACAAACAGAUACCUACGUCAUAUAUGGCCCAAAGUCUAGACAGGGCCAUCCGUAUUGAAAGAUAUAAGAAUUAAAAGUUGUGAGUCAGUUACAGUUGUCACAGUUCUCUCAGCACUCUGAACACUCUCUCUCUGCCUGUCGGAAGUCAAGUCGAGUUUUUACCUGAGCUUGUUUUGGCCUGUUUUUAAACUGACCACCUUUUAAUUUCUGUUUUACUAGUGGCCUCUAGGGUCCGCGUUUCUUAUUUUCUCCUGUACGCCCUUGUUCAAAGAGGUUAGCUUCCUUUUUUAUUAGAUUUUUUACCCUUUGAUUUUUGUUCCUAUAGUUUUCUGCCAAUAAAAAAUUUGACAAAGACAGUCGUUGCCCCACCGCCCAUUUGUGCGCCCCUCGCUCGAGACCAAGGCAUCCACUCAGCGCCUCACGCCUAGACAUCAGCGGCUCAGCUGCACAUCCUGACCCUGCUGGAACACAUCAAGCUGCAGCAAAUGCAACUUGCUGCUGCUGUCAACAGUCUUGCUGCAAGAGUGGGUACAGAAACUCCAGUGGCUGAGAUGCCGGAUAAUAUGAGUUUCCCACUGGCCACCAUGUCUGAAGUGAAGGAGUUGGAGGAGUGGCUGAAAGACUCAAGGAAUUCUCAUGCUAAGCAAAACAUGAUUUCUGCGCUUGGUGCUGUAGGAGGACAGAACACCAAGAGAAUAUCCUGGUAUGUUCUAUCAAAGAUUUUCUCUGACACAGUGACCAAAAGUACUAAUUGGAAAGGAGUAAAUGGCAAAAAAUGAUUCAAAGAAAUUCUCACGAGAACUCUGUUAAUCAAAGCUCUAAGGAAGAAUCAUCAGAGUGCACCGGACAGUGAGAUUGACUCUUGCGCCAUAAGAUGGUUCAACCUGGCAUCUGACAGGGGAGGCGGCCGCAAAGACAGGGCGAUGGCCAAGGAGACCUCUUAAAGUUUGUGUCUUCUGUCUAACUCAUUGUUCAUUCCUGUUUUAUGUGUGCAUUUAGUAUUGUUAAAGUGAAUCAUUAAACUAGGACAUGGUUUUCUUCCUCUUAUGCAUUUGAUUUGAUUUAAUUAAAGAUUUGUAUUUGUUAU